rnacentral:rRNA from 1 species
CACAUCCUGGGGCUGGAGAAGGUCCCAAGGGUUGGGCUGUUCGCCCAUUAAAGUGGCACGCGAGCUGGGUUCAGAACGUCGUGAGACAGUUCGGUCCCUAUCUGUUGUGGGCGCAGGAAAUUUGAGAGGGUCUGACACUAGUACGAGAGGACCGUGUUGGACGAACCGCUGGUUUAUCGGUUGUACCGCCAGGUGCAUUGCCGAGUAGCUACGUUCGGUUAAGGAUAAGUGCUGAAAGCAUCUAAGCACGAAGCCAUCCUCAAGAUUAGAUUUCCAUUAGGGUCGUAGAAGACUACUACGUUGAUAGGCUGCAGGUGUAAAGGCAGAGAUGUCAUAGCCGAGCAGUACUAAUAGCCCGAACUUUCUUUACAA